GCGUUCUUUCCGCACCUAAAAUUCACGUCUCCUCACUAUCGCCCCUAGGCGGGCUUCGAUAAUUUUCGCGCCUGCUGCUGACCUUGGUCCUGGUAGCCGUCUCUCAGGCUCCCUCUCCGGAAUCAAACCCUCAUUCCCCGUACCCGUCUUCGUCUAAGUAGGCCCUUACCCUACUUACUAACUGAUAGGAUGGCAUCUUACUCUUCUGCACUAACAGUUUCUGCCACAACCACAUAGCGUGAUUCGCAGCUUAACGUUUUCCCACCAGUUUCCCGGUGUUGUCCGUCCCAGAAGACUAAAUAAAUCGCCCGUUACUGAGCCUUUCACCGCUCCACAAUAGCUUCGCUUACACAUGCAUGGCUAAAUCUGUGAGACUAGCGUCCACGUCAGGCAGAAUCAACCUGGUG
rnacentral:rRNA from 1 species